rnacentral:tRNA from 1 species
GGUUAUGGCUCAGUGGUAGAGUGCACGCCUUGCACAUGUAAGGCACUGGGUUUGAGUCUCAGCACCA